GUGCCUUCAGUGGCAUCAUUGCACUGUGACUGUGCAGGUCCCAAACAGUAUGGACAUGAAUGUCCUCAAGCUGCAUGUUAGCAGGGCUUCUAAUUCCAUCUGCAAGUGAUAGUGUGUGGAGCUUAGUCGCACAGAGCGCAUGUUACUGGAGGAGAUAUGGGUCUGUGUCAUCCUGCAUGGGAAUGAUCCUAAAAACAAAGUGAUCAGUGACUGCUCAGGACUGUGGAAAAGUCACCUGGAGCAGUGGGAAAAGGUCUGGCAGAGGAAUAAGAAGAUACAGGUCUUAGAACAAGCCCUGGGACUUCAACCAAGUCAUUUAACAUCUGGGGCCUUCGUUUAUUUAUCCUCCCAGCAGAUAAAGCAAUACCUGCCCUGUCUUCCUAACCUUGGAGGGGUCAAAAAAGUCAUGGGUGUGAAAGCAUUUUGUAAACUGUAGUGCAAGCAUACGGCAGGGGAGUGAACCAUACUUUCACUAGCGACUUGAAUGAGGUGAUAAAGAAAAGGCUCAGAACUUCAGAAAAUGCAAGAGGGGCUUGACCCUGGAUUGGCAGAGGAAAGCAAUGGUGGGAUCAAUACCUUGGAGGGCCAAGGACCAAGGGGUUAAGGGUCCAUGAGGACAGGCCUGGAUCAUCAGGAAGCUGAGUGUGGAUUCCAAGAAUCUCAAGGUUAGAGAAGUCGCCUAGUCCACCUCCCCUCUCUGCUUCUCACAGAAGGGUCUGCUGAACACUCUGGUGACAGAGAACUCACCCAACAUGUUCCAUGGCAGAGGCUUUUCAUUAGAUCAAGGUGACAUCUGUUUUACUGGAGCUUCCAACCACGUGUCCCAAUACUGCCCUUAGUCACAGGCAUCCAGGUCCUCUCUCUCAGGACAGCACUUUGAAUAAAUGAGGACAGCUCCCAUCCCCCUUUCUCCCAGUUGACUUUCCAGAAACAUCUCAUAUUGUUGUUGGCUUUCCACCAUUUUUCCUCUUCACUUUCUGGGCCUACUACACUGUGUGUCCUCCACUUGGUCUCUUCCUGAAAGCAACACUGUGCACAAUGUUCCUGGGGGCAGACUUAUUAAACCAAGUGGACCACUUCCUUCAUCUUAGGUGUCACAGCUCCAUCAAUGCAUCCUCAAAUCACAAUGAUUUUUCUGCACUUCACCCUACAGGUUCCGAUUUAACGUUAACAUUGGCUAGGACAUUACUCAUUUACACACAGGCUCUGCUGAGCCCCAUCUUUGCCAAGACUCUGACUUCUGUUGUUUCAUUUAAAGAUGUAAGAACAGGGCCUCACAGUCCUUCCUAAGGAAUUUUACUUUGUGGCUGGGUGCAGUGGCUCACACCUGUAAUUCCAGCACUUUGGGAGGCCAAGUCAGGUGGAUGACUUGAGGUCAGGAGUUCGAGACCAGCCUGGCCAUCAUGAUGAAACCCCACCUCUACUAAAAAUACAAAAAUUAGCCGGCUGUGGUGGCAAGCACCUAUAUCCCAGCUACUCGGCAGGUUGAGGCAGGAGAAUCGCUUGAGCCCGGGAGGCAGAGGUUGCAGUGAGCCGAGAUCACUGCACUCCAGCCUGGGCAACAGAGUGAGACUCCAUCUCAAAACAAACAAACAAACAAACAAACAAACAAAAAACAAAACAAAACAACAACAACAAAACCCAGAAAUUUUACUUUGCUACAUUCAGCCCACAAUUUUUAGCAACCCAGAUCUUUCUGGAUCCUGGCUGUAUCUUCUCAGUGUGUUUCUUCUUCCUCCCAGCUUCCUGACCCCUGCAAAUAGGGCUGUAAAGAGGCUCUCUGAUGCUGCACUCCCUCCCUCAUUGCCACCAUGCAAAUCACAGAGGACCACCAGGCCAGACUGGCUCAACUGCUUGAUGAAUGCACCAGCCCACUCUCCCAUCCCGGGAGGCCUGUCAG
rnacentral:lncRNA from 1 species